rnacentral:rRNA from 1 species
UGGGGAAUUUCGGACAAUGGGCGAAAGCCUGAUCCAGCCAUGCCGCGUGCAGGAUGAAGGCCUUCGGGUUGUAAACUGCUUUUGUACGGAACGAAAAGCCUCUUUCUAAUAAAGAGGGGUCAUGACGGUACCGUAAGAAUAAGCACCGGCUAACUACGUGCCAGCAGCCGCGGUAAUACGUAGGGUGCAAGCGUUAAUCGGAAUUACUGGGCGUAAAGCGUGCGCAGGCGGUUUUGUAAGACAGAGGUGAAAUCCCCGGGCUCAACCUGGGAACUGCCUUUGUGACUGCAAGGCUGGAGUGCGGCAGAGGGGGAUGGAAUUCCGCGUGUAGCAGUGAAAUGCGUAGAUAUGCGGAGGAACACCGAUGGCGAAGGCAAUCCCCUGGGCCUGCACUGACGCUCAUGCACGAAAAGCGUGGGGAGCAAAACAGGAUUAGAUACCCUGGUAGUCCACGCCCUAAAACGAUGUCAACUGGUUGUUGGGGUCUUCAACUGACUCAGUAACGAAGCUAACGCGUGAA